GGCAAGCUGGCUGUGUUCACAGUGCUGUGCGAGCAGUACCAGCCGUCCCUGCGGAGGGACCCCAUGUACAACGAGUACCUCGACAGGAUCGGACAACUCUUCUUCGGUGUGCCGCCAAAGCAGACAUCCUCCUAUGGAGGCUUGCUAGGUAAGCCAUGCGGUCUGGUCCCCAACAGGCCUUUCUGCCGUGUUCCCAGGUUGCCUGAGUGGACCUGCUGUUGAAGUCUGUGUGUGACUGCAGAUUAGGCUGUUCACUGGGUACCACUCUGUGCUCUGAACUCCAAAUACAAGCCCCUUCCACCAAGGCAGGGCCACUCUGGUGUAGUCCUCUGCACUUGAAAUGCCUAGUUUUCCUUUUUCCUCUGGUGCUGGACACUCAGGUCCUUGGCCCCCAUUUUCUUUACUACUGUCCUGCAUCCUCUCCCCAGCCCUUCCAAUUCAGAGUCCUGAAUGCUGUCUCUACUGCUAGCAGGGGUAACUACAGGCAGAGUAUGGCAUGAACCCUUGCGCCAUUACCUUCUAGAGUGUGGAGCUUCCAUGCAUGUGGUAUGAAGACAAACACCGUGUUGUGGAAGGAAGUACAGCUGAGUGCGGCCAUGAACAAGUCCACCUAGGCCCUCUGGGCGCUGGCUGUGCCUAGUAACGUGGUAUAGACUGUGACAGUGUUUCUCUAGUUUGUUG
rnacentral:lncRNA from 1 species